rnacentral:rRNA from 1 species
CGUUGACCGGGAAGAACGGGCGCCGACCUAAUACGUCGGCGCAGUGACGGUACCGGUUGAGGAAGCCACGGCUAACUCUGUGCCAGCAGCCGCGGUAAUACAGAGGUGGCAAGCGUUGUUCGGAAUUACUGGGCGUAAAGGGCGCGUAGGCGGCUCGCUAAGUCAGACGUGAAAUCCCCCGGCUUAACCUGGGAACUGCGUCUGAUACUGGCGAGCUCGAGUGCGGGAGAGGGAUGUGGAAUUCCAGGUGUAGCGGUGAAAUGCGUAGAUAUCUGGAGGAACACCGGUGGCGAAGGCGGCAUCCUGGACCGACACUGACGCUGAGGCGCGAAAGCUAGGGGAGCAAACGGGAUUAGAUACCCCGGUAGUCCUAGCCCUAAACGAUGAGUGCUUGGUGUGGCGGGUAUCGAUCCCUGCCGUGCCGAAGCUAACGCAUUAAGCACUCCGCCUGGGGAGUACGGUCGCAAGGCUG